rnacentral:tRNA from 1 species
UGGGGUGUAGCUCAAUUGGCAGAGCGCCUGGCUGUUAACCAGGAGGUUGGAGGUUCGAACCCUCCCGCCCCAG